rnacentral:rRNA from 1 species
UACGUAGGGUGCAAGCAUUGUCCGGAUUUAUUGGGCGUAGAGAGCUCGUAGGCGGCUUGUCACGUCGGGUGUGAAAACUCGGGGCUUAACCCCGAGCCUGCACUCGAUACGGGCUAGCUAGAGUGUUGCAGGGGAGACUGGAAUUCCUGGUGUAGCGGUGAAAUGCGCAGAUAUCAGGAGGAACACCGGUGGCGAAGGCGGGUCUCUGGGCAACUACUGACGCUGAGGAGCGAAAGCGUGGGGAGCGAACAGG